rnacentral:rRNA from 1 species
UACGUAGGGUGCAAGCGUUUAAUCGGAAUUACUGGGCGUAAAGCGUGCGCAGGCGGUUUUGUAAGUCUGUCGUGAAAUCCCCCGGGCUCAACCUGGGAAUUGCGAUGGAGACUGCAAGGCUAGAAUCUGGCAGAGGGGGGGUAGAAUUCCACGUGUAGCAGUGAAAUGCGUAGAGAUGUGGAGGAACACCGAUGGCGAAGGCAGCCCCCCUGGGUCAAGAUUGACGCUCAUGCACGAAAAGCGUGGGGGAGCAAACGAGG